ensembl:antisense Mhrt myosin heavy chain associated RNA transcript
AGCCCUGCAGUCUGAUGAACAUUCUAGAGUAUGUGGACACAGAUGGACGCUCUGGCCACAGCUUGUUGACCUGGGACUCGGCGAUGUCCGCCCUCUCCUCCGCCUCAUCCAGCUCGUGCUGCACCUUGCGGAACUUGGACAGCCUCCAGCUCAUUCUCCAGCUCCCGGACCCGGGCCUCCAGCUUCUGCAGCUGCUUCUUGCCGCCCUUGAGGGCGAUCUGCUCUGCCUCGUCCAGACGGUGCUGCAAGUCCUUGAUGGUCUGCUCCAUGUUCUUCUUCAUGCGCUCCAGGUCAUCAUUGGCACGGACAGCAUCAUCCAGCUGGAUUUGAGUGUCCUGAGGAUCAGAAAAAUGAGUGGCCUCAUUGCGGCUGCGUGUCUCNNNNNNNNNNNNNNNNNNNNNNNNNNNNNNNNNNNNNCUCCUCAUCCUUCUCUGCCAGCUUCCUUUCGAUCUCUGCCUUGAUCUGGUUGAACUCCAGCUGGGCGCGGAGGAUCUUGCCCUCCUCGUGCUCCAGGGAGGCCUGGAAAGGAUAUAGAUUUUGCAGGCAUAUAGUCAGAGACCAGGGUGGAAGCAAGGGUGUGUCUAAAAACCAUGGCACAGAGAGCAUUUGGGGAUGGUAUACAUGACUCAGUAGGAGAUGCAGAGGAAGGAAAUGAGAAAGAGUGUGCACAAGAGAAAUGAAAGCAAGCUGAAGAGAAGGGGAUGCAGACUCCCAGGGGGGCGGAGGGAGUCAGCUUUGAAGACAAAGAGGAAAAUGAAAAGUGUUGCCAAGGAAACAGAGGCAAUGAAGCAGAGAGUGAAAGG